GGAAGGAAGAAAGGAAAAAUGAUGAUACACGGGGAAAUGCGAUCGCACCUCUCGAUCUUAUCGUCUCUUUUCUUCUUUUCCAAUUUCUUUCUCGUGCAUCCAAGCUCUUUUCAUUUUUCC
rnacentral:ribozyme from 11 species